rnacentral:ncRNA from 1 species
UGACUCUAUUCUGGCACAGUGAAGAGACAUGAGAGGUGUAGAAUAAGUGGGAGGCCCCCUUGCAGGGAUGAGUAUGGGGACUGGGGACAGUGCUAGGUGGGGAGUUUGACUGGGGCAGUACACCUGUCAAACAGUAAUGCAGGUGUCCUAAGGUGAGCUCAGGGAGGACAGAAACAUCCCAUGGAGCAAAAGGGCAAAAGCUCACUUGAUCUUGAUUUUCAGUACGAAUACAGGCCCCAUGUAAGUCUGAAAUCCAGCAGGACAGUCAAAUCAUAAAGCUCCAAAAUGAUCUCCUUUGACUCCAUGUCUCAAA